rnacentral:rRNA from 1 species
AUUGAACGCUGGCGGCAGGCCUAACACAUGCAAGUCGAACGAGUGGCGGACGGGUGAGUAAUGUCUGGGAAACUGCCUGAUGGAGGGGGAUAACUACUGGAAACGGUAGCUACUACCGCAUACCAUCGGAUGUGCCCAGAUGGGAUUGGCUUGUUGGUGGGGUAACGGCUCACCAAGGCGAAGAUCAGUAGCGGGUCUGAGAGGAUGAUCCGCCAUAAUGGGACUGAGACACGGCCCAGACUCCUACGGGAGGCAGCAGUGGGUAAUUUGGGACAAUGGGGGCAAGCCUGAUCCAGCCAUGCCGCGUGUCUGAAGAAGGCCUUCGGGUUGUAAAGGACUUUUGUUAGGGAAGCGGUACCUAACGAAUAAUCACCGGCUAACUACGUGCCAGCAGCCGCGGUAAUUC